rnacentral:lncRNA from 1 species
UCUUUUACUUUAUAUAUUUCAAAUUUUGCGAACUGUAAAGAUUCCUUACUCCUUGUGGUUUCUUUUGCUUCUUGUUUUUGCCUUUUCGUUCUUGAUUUUGCUGUGUAUUUUAGUUUUUGUUUAAAUUGCAAGUCAGUGAAUUUGUGUGCCUUAAGUUAGUAGAUAUGGUGUGUUGUUGGCUGAUGGAAUUUGGAAAAUGGUGGCUGGUGGAAUUUGGAAAAUGGCUGACUUCUAUCAUUUUAAAGGGUUUUGGAAUCAUCUGAUAUAGAAAUGAAUUGUAAUGUUUAGUGACAUUUAAAA